rnacentral:misc_RNA from 1 species
AACAAACAUGGGGGAAGGAUCAUGUGCAAAGAAGGUAAAGCAAACAGCCAUGAACACAUGCUGCGACUCAAAGAUGGUUGCCAUAUAUCGUUAAAAAUCACAGAAAUGUCUGCUUAUUUCCUCUGGCACCAUGUGUAAAAGAAAAUAAUUGCAAGUUUCAGCCAGUAAGACUAAGAUACAAAAACAUUCGGGAAACAAAUUAUUGACCAGAAACACCUUUGAG